CCGGGUCCUCUCCGAAAACAUCGCUAAGGAAUGAUGGGUGCUAACAAAGGAAGGGGGACUCUGGGAGGCAGAAGAAGAAUUUUGCUUUCUGGAAGGUUGGGAUCAAGUGGACUGAGAGCUGAACCUGGUAUGGCAUUUUCUUGAGGAAGCAAGAAUCCACCGGAUAGAAGUUAAGUAUUAAACUCCUGGGCAAAUUGGCACCAAAUUCGAUGAGGGACUGGCACCUUGAUUCUGAUGUUUAGAUGCUUCCAUCCCUUAUUCUGCUGUAGCUCUAUCCUUGGGAGGAGGAUCACCCUCGUCUGUUCAAGUGGAUGGACGUCGGAGUGGAUCUUUUGGGGGAAUCAGGCAAAAGACAGCGGGAAACCAAAUGGAGAGUUUCACAUGUCUCAUCCUCAUCGUUCUUCUGGAUGGCAGCAGAUUAAUUUCAAGAAUUCCAUCUUCCAUCUCCAGACUUCACUGUUGGUAUAGUUUUUCAGCCUGGAAAGACCACCCAGUAAGGGCGACUAACUCUGCCCCUUCUGCUCCCUGGGAUAUAAAUUCAAGACUGCCCUGAAGAAAGGAUAGAAGCUUCACCAACUGAGCAACAAAAGCCUGGCAAGAAGAAUCAAUUAACCGAUCAUUGUGGGGCAACCUUAUUUUGUUCAUACGUGUGUUAAACGCCUUCAAGUGUUGUCUUAUUUUGUUUCAUUCUGACAAUUAUACGGACACAGCGGGCCUGGCACCCCAAAGAGUUGCAAAUUGCAUUGACCACAGGAUAAUGUGGUCACAGAGUUUUGCAUUAGUCAGAACUUUCGCAAUGUGCAAAAUAUUUGAACAAAUUCAACUUGGUGCCAACCUCACACAGAAAAUGAACGUCCAGAAAACACCCUGUUGACCGCACUCAAGGAGACAAAUAAACAUCAUGAGACUGGGAGGAUGCAGCCAUUUUUUGAAAUACGGUGUUAAAGCAGCAUGGAUGAGUGAAAGAGAGGAAUGUUGAGUCUCCAAAAUGCCUGCCUGAGUCUCCUCACUGUUUAUUACCUUUGAAUAUACAAAUGAUGCAGUAUUGUUCAUGCUGUCAUUUUAUUGUG